rnacentral:rRNA from 1 species
AUUGAACGCUGGCGGCAGGCCUACCACAUGCAAGUCGAGCGAGCGGCGGACGGGUGAGUAAUGUAUGGGGACUGCCCGAUCGAGGGGGAUAACUACUGGAAACGGUAGCUAAUACCGCAUACUAUCGGAUAACCCAUAUGGGAUUAGCUAGUAGGGUAGGUAAUGGCUCACCUAGGCGACGAACCCUAGCUGGGCUGAGAGGAUGAUCAGCCACACUGGGACUGAGACACGGCCCAGACUCCGACGGAGGCAGCAGUGGGGAAUAGUGCACAAGGGGCGCAAGCCUGAUGAAGCCAUGCCGCGUGUAUGAAGAAGGCCCUAGGGUUGUAAAGUACUUUCAGUCGGGAGGCGUUACCGACAGAAGAAGCACCGGCUAACUCCGUGCCAGCAGCCGCGGUAAUAC